rnacentral:misc_RNA from 1 species
GAUGAAGAACGUAGUGAAAUGCGAUAAGUAAUGUGAAUUGCAGAAUUCCGUGAAUCAUCGAAUCUUUGAACGCACAUUGCGCCCGCCAGUAUUCUGGCGGGCAUGCCUGUUCGAGCGUCAUUACAACCCUCAGGCCCCCGGGCCUGGCGUUGGGGAUCGGCGGAAGCCCCCUGCGGGCACAACGCCGUCCCCCAAAUACAGUGGCGGUCCCGCCGCAGCUUCCAUUGCGUAGUAGCUAACACCUCGCAACUGGAGAGCGGCGCGGCCACGCCGUAAAACACCCAACUUCUGAAUGUUGACCUCGAAUCAGGUAGGAAUACCCGCUGAACUUAAGCAUAUCAAUAAGCGGAGG